GCAGCCGGGGACGGGAGGAUGGCCGGGGCGGAAGAGACCGGGUGAAGCAGCUCAGUGAAGUCCCAGGGCCGCAGAGCUGGGCCGGGAAUCUGUCCGGGAGAAGCCUUCUCCUCCAGCCUGGACACUUUAAGCAGCGGUGGCGGCAAACAGCGCGAGGCUGCACCGCGGGCAGCGAGCCUUCCUGGUCCCGACGUUGUGCUGACCUCCGGAGACGACAAGUGAGCAAGAAGUGUCCGGCCGGGCCAUCCCCCUAAGACACCCACAGCCACAGAGGGGGUUGCUGCGCCGCCUGCGAGGAGUGCGGUCAAUCUUCAGCGCAACGAGCCCCGCAGUCCCCCUCUUCCCGACCCUUCAGCCCCACCGCGCCUUCCCGGAGGGAGCCUUGGAGCCUUUGGCUAUGAAUGCCUAGAGGCCAAGGAAGAGCCUGCUUGGGAGAAGAAGCGGUCUCAGAUUUCACAUCAAGCUCACCGGAGGAUUUGGAGGAUUGUAUGUAAAUUGAAAUAAAUUCUCCAAAGCCUGA